rnacentral:rRNA from 1 species
CCUACGGAGGCAGCAGUGGGGAAUACUGCACAAUGGGGGAAACCCUGAUGCAGCGACGCCGCGUGAGUGAAGAAGUAUUUCGGUAUGUAAAGCUCUAUCAGCAGGGAAGAAAAUGACGGUACCUGACUAAGAAGCCCCGGCUAACUACGUGCCAGCAGCCGCGGUAAUACGUAGGGGGCAAGCGUUAUCCGGAUUUAAUGGGUGUAAAGGGGGCGUAGACGGCGCGGCAAGUCUGAAGUGAAAGGGAGGGGAUUAACCCCUGAACUGCUUUGGAAACUGCCAUGCUAGAGUGCUGGAGAGGUAAGUGGAAUUCCUAGUGUAGCGGUGAAAUGCGUAGAUAUUAGGAGGAACACCAGUGGCGAAGGCGGCUUACUGGACAGUAACUGACGUUGAGGCUCGAAAGCGUGGGGAGCAAACAGGAUUAGAUACCCGGGUAGUC